CUUUUGAUGGCGACCGGCGCACGGGUGAGUAACACGUAUCCAACCUGCCUCAUACUCGGGGAUAGCCUUUCGAAAGAAAGAUUAAUACCCGAUGUUAUAGUCCUACCGCAUGAUGGGAUUAUUAAAGAAUUUCGGUAUGGGAUGGGGAUGCGUUCCAUUAGUUAGUUGGUGGGGCAACGGCCCACCAAGCCGACGAUGCGUAGGGGUUCUGAGAGGAAGGUCCCCCACAUUGGAACUGAGACACGGUCCAAACUCCUACGGAAGGCAGCAG
rnacentral:rRNA from 1 species